rnacentral:tRNA from 1 species
GGGCGUGUGGCUCAGUUGGUAGAGCGUUCGCUUAGCAUACCUCCCGUCACGGAUAUGCGAAAGGUCCUGGGUUCGAUUCCCAGCUCGUCCA